UCCGAUAUGGUGUAACGGCUAACAUUACCGCCUUUCACUACGAAGGCCGCGGUAGCUCGGGGUUCGAUUCCCCGUAUCGGAG